AUUGAGCGCACAACAUGGUUAAGACAAAAUAGAGGCGCAUAAUAUAGCAAAAGCCUCGUGAAACAGCAAGAUCAAAUUUUUAUGUGUUAUACAAAAAAUAUUCUAGCUCUAAUAAUUGCAUAAAAUAUAGUUGUUGUUUUGGAGCUUGCUUUCCCUUGUAAUUCUCGAGGUCCUAAUUAUAUUCAACUGAGCAAUGGCAAAGUUAAUAUAUAUAGAGAGGGCUAGGAUCCGGUCCGACCUGAUCAGUUUUUAUCUGAAUUAAAAACGUGAAAUUUUUUCUGGCCGCUUGAUUAAAAAUGAUGGUUCAAAUUAGAUUGUCUUUUCUACCCCAUUUCCUGCCCAUCUUUGAUGCCAUCUCCCACCUUCUCUCCUCCAAUUCCAAGUCACCCACCACCACCACCAACACCAAACAACCCUCUUCUUCCUCAAGAUCUACUCCGAACCAAUUUUUUGGCGGCCAAAAAAUUCAACCCCAGCGUCUAUUCACCGAAGAAGACGAAACCCAUCUCCUUCAAAUCUUCUACCAUGUCAGCAAACCAUCACCUCCUUCAUCCUCCAUCAAUUCACCCAACUUGAACCGCAUCAAAAAGUCUCUGGAACUCAGAUUUAGUCACACCUAGAUCAUUGACAAGCUCCUUCUUCUAGACCACGAUUCAGAGGUUUAUAAGAUUGCAAGCAAGAUCUGGGGGAGGAAAGGUUUGAACUCUCGAGGUGGCAAAAUAGAAGAAGGGAAGGAAGAGAAGAAAGAAGAACAGAGAAAUGGUGAUGCGGGUUUGGAGGAGUUUCUGGUCCUAAAGCACGAGGUUUUGGGUUUUGCAGCGAAAUGUGUUCUGGAAGAAGGGGCUAAUGGCUUUGGAAGAGAAAACAUUGGAGGGUUUGAAUGAGAAAUGGAUGUUGCUGAAGAUGGAAGAAGCUGAGGUCAUGGCUCAGAGAGCAGAGCUAGAGAAAGAGGUCGGUGAUUUGGUUGUGAGGGCUUUUUUAGCCUUCAAAGAGUAAAUGAUUUUUAGGGUUUUUAUUUUAUUUUAUUAGAGUCGAAGAAAGAAUUGUAAUGUAGAGUACCAAAUAUUUUCGUGGUAAUGAUUUAUGAAAUUUUAGUGCUUUUGGAUUCAUUCUAUUAUUUUUUUUAUUUAACUUUUUGUUUGCCAAAUUUGCCAAUAAAAGAUGAGAUGAAAAUUUGAAAAACAAUUGAAAUCGACUGGGUGAAAUCGAGAUGAAAAACAAUCUACGAAUUGAAAUCGAGAACCAAAUAACAAUUAAAUUCAAAAAAAAAAAAAAAUCCAACAAAAAGCAGCUCUGGUGAAGUUGUAGAAGCUAAAGGCAUACUUGAUCAAAGAGAGUGAGUGAGAGAGAGAGAAGGCAGAUGGGUAUGCGAUCAAAAAUGGAUGGGAAAGGAAGGAAAUGGGAAGAGGAAAUCUAAUUUGGACCGUUAAUCUAAUCGAACGAUUAAGAAAAUUUUCACUUUUUUUAUCCGGAUAGAAAUGGUCAGGAUGGACCGGAUCCUAGCCCCUCUCAAUAUAUAUAUAUAUAUAUAUAUAUAUAUAGGGAGUCUACCAUGAGGGACAUCCACAUGGGUUAUGUGCGGUCUAAACAUGUGAGGCAAUUCCGUGCCCUUCGAUUUGCAUUUUUGGCAUCAACGGCCCUGGACAAAAAUUGCUCUCACGUACGAAUUUUGGCCAAAUCUCCCAUUUCUGGUCUCUUCCCAUUCGCAGCUUCCUUACUCUUCUCCUCUAUUCCAGUGACGUUGCAAGCCACAAAUGCAAGAGUAGAAGGUUGAAGGUUGUAAGAAAUUUCCACCCUUCUCAACCCACCGUUCCAGCCAGCACUCGGGAUCCAACCACCAUUCCAGCCAACGUUCGCAAUCUAGCCGUACCAGCCCCACCAUUUUUUGUCUUCAAGUUCCAUCGGCCAGCCCGCUAUUCUCUGUAUGUUUUCUUAUCCUCAUUUCUUUUUUUCUUUUUCUUUUCUUAUUUGUUUUAGAGAACCUAAUUUCCAAACUUUUACCACGAAUUGCUUAGAUGGGAAGCCGAUGGGAAUUGUUUGUCUUGUUUCCAGAGAAUAGUUAUCUUAGGUCAGAGUUUGAGAUUAGUUGUGUAAGCAUGUCAACAAGUACUAGUGAUGUUCAACCUAUCCGAAUGUGCUCAUGUGGGCAAUAUAUGCAUUUAAAAACAUCGAGGACAGAUAAGAAUCCAAAUCGUCAAUUUUGAAAAUGCUUAGAUGGAGAACAGGUCAUACAUAAUUAUUAAUGAUUUAAAUUUUCAUUUAUUUCUGCUUAUAAAAUUAAAAAAUUAUAUAUGUUUAGUUGACACAGGAAAAAUGAUGUGGUAAAUUCAUUUGGGCACAAGACGGGGAAGCUAAACGAGACAAAAUAGAUAUACUUAUCAGUGAAGUUCGUCGUUUAUCUGUGCAAGUGGACAAAUCUAAUGAUAUGCUUGAAGCAAUUCAGAAAAAAACUAAGAGGAGCGACCAAAUUGACGUUAAGACUUUUAUAGUUCUUGUUCUUUUAUUAUUUUUUUUCUUUAAAAUGUUUGCGUAGUGAUGUAGUCAAGUAAUAUAUGUGUCUGUUUGGUUGGUAAACUAAUUUGUGCUUGCUAAGCACCAUAUGUAUCCUAUUCAGCUUGCUACUUGUGUUGUUGAAAUUGUCGGUUACAAUUAUAUAUGAAAUAUGACUUUUCAAGUAUGUUGAACUAUUUGGGGAUUGAAUCGCAUUUCUCAAUUGAAAUAUGACUUGUCAAGUAAGUGCUACUUAAUGGCCCACUUGGCUCAUGAAAGACGUCUCUGGUGAAAGUGAGCAAUAUUAUUAGUCAAUAUUAUGUUGAAAGAGAUCAAUCUUUGCAUUAAGUGUUUGAUUCAGCUCACCAAGCUACACAUGCUGUGGUAUGAUUAUUCUGGCUAUGGACAAUCUAAUGGAAAGAUAUAUAUUCUAUGUUCUUUUCCUCUAAAAGACUGAGCACAUGUCACUGUUUAAAAGUUUUUAGAAGUCCAAAAAAGAAUUUGAACUUUGUGCUUUUAAAUAGGGUAGGUAGAGUAUGAAUAUGCUAAUAAUUUUUAACAUUUCCCAAGUUCAUGCAUGAAAUGUUCUUACAAGCUAGUUGAUGAAUAUUCAAACAAAUUUUUAACAUAAUAGCUAUGGUAUUUAUUUAGUUUCAAAAUGAUUUGAUAAAAACAAAAUAUGAAACAUAAAAUACUGCACCAGACUAUUUUUCUCUAUGUUUCGUUUUUAUGCUCAUUUUCUAAGCAAGUUGGACUUACAAUGUCCUCUUCCUUGUUUGGCUUGGUUUGAACAUUUUUUAUCUGCUUAGUUUCUGCAUAUAACUAAGAGCAAACUAUUGAUUAUACGUGUAACAUAAUAUUUCCCAAUUAGCCAAGUGAGCAGGACACCUAUGCGGGCAUAGAGGCUGCGUAUAAAUGUCUCGAAGAAACAUAUGGUGUGAAAGAGGAAGACUAAUAGCUUGAAACUAAAUACUUUAGAGUGCUUAGUUUAUACUUUAAAGUACUAAAUACUUUAUUUUCUUUUUCCAUGUAUGACAGUACAAUUUACUAGUUGUUUGAUAGCAUGUACUCUACCAUCAUAUAUAAUUUGAUUUCUGUAUGAUAGUCUUGCUUUUUUCUGUUAUAAUUAUAUGAAACUAAAACUUACAUUUGGAUUUUUUUGGGUUAUAUGUAGUAAUUUAGUGGCCAACAACUUCACAAUAGAUAGUUCAAACAACAGGUAGUUUUCUGCACUCUGUCCUUGGUGCUUGAACCUUACAACUCUAGCAUGCAUAAGGAUGUUAUAGUUAAAGCAUUAUUUAUGAAACUUAAUGCUGCAAUGCACUCCAAAUGAUUUUAGUACAAAUUUCCUGCAUAUCAUGCAUAUGCCAAUCAUUUUCUUCUGAAUAUUGGAUUACUAAUUUACCUUUCUUCCAAUGGUCCUUUGUCUAUGCAUCCAGGGGAAAAGAGUUUUAGAGAAUUUCAACAUACGAGAGGAGGUAGGUGGAGUUGGCUUCUCAAGCUGUCCAAUGGGGUUUUAAGGCAUUUUUAUCAGAAAACUACCUCGAAAUCCAUCCUUUCAUACCUACAGUCAGUAACAAAUCUCCAAGCAAUGAGAACAGAACUGGUCUGAUAGUGGGCAUUGUUGUUCCUGUUGGAGUUUUAAGCUUUCUAUCUCUUUUGGUGGUUUUAUAUAUUGUCUCUAAAAGAAGAAAGAAAUCUCAAACAGAUGAUGAGGAAGGCUAGCCAUUAUCUUUGAUGCAUGUGCAUUUUGGUUGUCUGACUUCUUUAGUGUUGUUUGCUUAUGUUUGAAAUCUUAGUGCCACACGUACAUGUAAACCAAUAAAUAAAAUUGUCACAUAAUUAUGUGCUUAAGAGUUCAUACUUCUCCAGAAGCUCUAUGCUAAACGAAGAGGUAUUAAGUUAUGAUAGUGCUUAAUGUUUUCUUUGCAGAUUACUUGACCGGAUACUUGACCGACUAGAAGUUCGAAGACUUGAGCAGCCAAAUGAGUGACAAUGCAACCAUAGGAAGUAACACUAACUACAACAAUUCAUCUGGCAAGCAUGGUGGGAGAUGUAGAACAAUCUCCUGUCUAUGGAAGUACAAUGCUUAUGCUUAAAAACUUCAUUGAGGAGGGUAGAUGAAAAUUUGUUAGGAUGCUUGUGCUUGUGCAAGCUGACACUUUGAAGUGCAGAUUGAUUGAUCUGGAGGAAAUGCACCAUAUGAACCAUCUGGAUUGAAAUUGUUGUAACUCACUAGCUUUUAAAUUGUAACCUGGAUGUUUGUGCUAUGAACAAUUUACUAAAAGUUAAGUUCAAUAAAUAGUUGUUCAAUUUGUAUUCUUUUUA